rnacentral:rRNA from 1 species
GACGAACGCUGGCGGCGUGCUUAACACAUGCAAGUCGAACGGAAAGGCCCUGCUUUUGUGGGUUUCUCGAGUGGCGAACGGGUGCGUGACACGUGAGUAACCUUCCCUUCUCUUUGGGAUAACUUCAGGACACUGGGGCUAUUACCGGAUAGGAUCUCCUGCUGCCUGGUGGGCAUUGGAAAGUUGCGGCGGUUUGGGAUGGACUCGCGGCUUAUCCGCUUGUUGGUGUGGUAGUGGCUUACCCAGGCUGUGACGGGUACGCGGCAUGAGAGGGGAAACGGGGAAAAGGGGACUGAGAGACGGCGCAGAGUGGUAAGGGAGACAGGAGGGGGGAAGAUGGCCCAAAGGGCGGAAGUGUGAGGCAGAAACGCCGCGUGAGGGAUGACGGACUGCGGGUAGAAAAAAGCUGAAGGGUGAGACGAAGCGUGAGUGACGGUAACGGAUGAAGAAGCACCGGCUAACUACGUG